rnacentral:rRNA from 1 species
GAUGAACGCUGGCGGCGUGCCUAAUACAUGCAAGUCGAGCGAAUGGAUUAAGAGCUUGCUCUUAUGAAGUUAGCGGCGGACGGGUGAGUAACACGUGGGUAACCUGCCCAUAAGACUGGGAUAACUCCGGGAAACCGGGGCUAAUACCGGAUAACAUUUUGAACCGCAUGGUUCGAAAUUGAAAGGCGGCUUCGGCUGUCACUUAUGGAUGGACCCGCGUCGCAUUAGCUAGUUGGGGAGGUAACGGCUCACCAAGGCAACGAUGCGUAGCCGAACGGAGAGGGUGAUCGGCCACACUGGGGCUGAGACACGGCCCAGGCUCCUACGGGAGGCAGCAGUAGGGAAUCUUCCGCAAUGGACGAAAGUCUGACGGAGCAACGCCGCGUGAGUGAUGAAGGCUUUCGGGUCGUAAAACUCUGUUGUUAGGGAAGAACAAGUGCUAGUUGAAUAAGCUGGCACCUUGACGGUACCUAACCAGAAAGCCACGGCUAACUACGUGCCAGCAGCCGCAGUAA